UCCCUGGUCCAGGAAGAUCCCACAUGCCGUGGAGCAAUUAAGCCCAUGUGCCACAACUACUGAGCCUGAGUUCUGCAGCCCGCAAGGCUCAAAUACUGAGCCUGCGAGCCACAACUACUGAAGCCCGUGCACCCUAGAACCCGCACACUGCAACUACGGAGCCCACUUGCCACAACUACGGAAGCCUGUGUGCCAAGAGCCCGUGCUCCGCAACAAGAGAAGCCACUGCAAUGAGAAGCCCAUGCACCGCAGCAAAGAGUAGCCCCCGCUCGCUGUAACUAGAGAAAGCCCGUGCCUACCAACAAAGACCCAACACAGCAAAAAAAAAAAAAAAAAGAAUUCAUCAUCCAUUUUUCAGUAUGCUUUGAGAAUUUAAGCUAUUUCUUUUUAUAAGAAUAAACAAAUCCAAGCUGUCAUCUGGGGAAGAGUUUCAUAAAUUAAACAAGAAAAUAAUUUGAAAAAAGAUAAAGCGCAAAUCACACUGAGACUCAAACAUAAGCAACAACCACAAGACAGCCAAUGGGAGCUCAGAAUGAAAGUUAUGUUGCUUCAGCCCUCUACAUUCCCAUCUUCAAACAAUAGGUAUGUGCCCAUCUUUGGCAAAUCAGCUCUGUAGUAACUGGACUCUGACUUAUUCUCUGUGGUAUCAUCGGCACCAGGC